AUUGAACGCUGGCGGCAGGCCUAACACAUGCAAGUCGAACGAGAGGCGGACGGGUGAGUAAUGUAUGGGAAACUGCCUGAUGGAGGGGGAUAACGACUGGAAACGGUAGCUAAUAGCGCAUACCAUGGGAUGUGCCCAUAUGGGAAUAGCUAGUAGGUGGGGUAAAGGCUCACCUAGGCGACGAUCACUAGCGGGUCUGAGAGGAUGACCAGCCACACUGGAACUGAGACACGGUCCAGACUCCUACGGGAGGCAGCAGUGGGGAAUAUUGCACAAUGGGCGCAAGCCUGAUGCAGCCAUGCCGCGUGUAUGAAGAAGGCCUUCGGGUUUUAAAGUACUUUCAGCGGGGAGGCGUUACCCGCAGAAGAAGCACCGGCUAACUCCGUGCCAGCAGCCGCGGUAAUUC
rnacentral:rRNA from 1 species